rnacentral:rRNA from 1 species
AGAGUUUGAUCCUGGCUCAGAACGAACGCUGGCGGCAAGCUUAACACAUGCAAGUCGAACGGACCGUAUACGCAGCUUGCUGCGUGUAUGGUUAGUGGCAGACGGGUGAGUAAUGCAUAGGAAUCUACCUAGUAGUAUGGGAUAGCCACUAGAAAUGGUGGGUAAUACUGUAUAAUCCCUGCGGGGGAAAGAUUUAUCGCUAUUAGAUGAGCCUAUGUCAGAUUAGCUAGUUGGUGGGGUAAUGGCCUACCAAGGCGGUGAUCUGUAGCUGGUCUGAGAGGAUGAUCAGCCACACUGGAACUGAGACACGGUCCAGACUCCUACGGGAGGCAGCAGUGGGGAAUAUUGGACAAUGGGCGCAAGCCUGAUCCAGCUAUGCCGCGUGAGUGAGGAAGGCCUUAGGGUUGUAAAACUCUUUCAGUAGGGAAGAUAAUGACGGUACCUACAGAAGAAGUCC